AUGUGGAAGACUAAUCAUCAAAAUGUAGUCCGGUGUCUUGGCUUCUGUUCUAAUACAUACAUGAAACCCAUAGAAAAGGCUGGGUUGAAAGAAACUGUCUUGGCCAACGUGAGAGAAAGAUUGUUCUGUUUGGAGUACAUCAGCAAUGGAAGCCUUGAUAAGUAUAUUACCGAUGAAUUGAGGGGACUUAAAUGGGAAACACGUUAUGAAAUAAUCACCGGAAUUUGCGAGGGUCUGUGUUAUCUUCACGAGGAAAAAAAGAUUGUUCAUAUGGACCUUAAACCGGCAAAUAUUUUACUACAUGGCAAAUAUAUGGUUCCAAAAAUCACUGAUUUUGGUUUGUCAAGACCAGAUGAAAACUCACAUACUAAGGGUCAACCUAUUGGAACACAAGGAUAUAUCGCUCCGGAAUACGUGAAAGAUGGAAAAACUUCAGCCAAGUCUGACAUAUAUAGUUUGGGUGCCAUUAUUUUUGAAUUAGUAACAGGGUGUAUGAGCGUCCCUGACAAAAAUAAUGUACUUCGAAGGUGGAGACAUAGGUGGAAUAAGCCACCAACAUUACUACAAUACCAGCAAGUAACUAGAUGCAUCGAAAUAGCAGUACGCUGCAGGCAACAAGAACCAAAAUAUAGACCUUCUACAGGUGAUAUAAUCAGCUUUUUGAGGAAAUCUGAAAGUACGGAUGGGGAUGGGCACACUGGCCAGGAAAGCACUUAUCUGUACGAUGUCAUGCUUGGUAUUGAGCCGCUCGAGCUACAUUUUACUUUUAAGCUUCACAAGGAGAUGUCAUGCUCAGUUAAGCUAACCAACAAGACAAUGGCAUGUUUUGCCUUCAACAUUGAAAGACCAAGCAAGGAGUACACCAUACGGCCAGACAAAGGCAUUGUGCCUCCAGAAUGCAACGAGUAUCUUGUUCAGAUAACAGUGCAGCCACAGGAAUGGGCAUCGCAAGUUACACAAAAUGCUGACAAGUUCAUCGUGAAGAGCACAAAAGUGAGUGAGGGUCUUAGCGUCAAGGAUAUCACUGAGCAUGUAUUCCAUGAAGGGGCAGGUAAAGUGGUUGAUGAGGUGAAUUUGAUGGUUGUAUAUGAGCCUACGAAGCCCCAAGAAAACUGCAAGAGUAGAGAAGACACGAACAUGUCAGCCGAGGAAGUCCCCGAGGCGAAAAAGAGAAAGACUGUUGGGUCUGCUUAUAAGGACAUCGAUUUAAGCACGCAAGGACACUGUACCGAGCAAAUAGAGCAGUGUAAAUUCUACCCACCACAGAGCUUUUCACACCAUUAUCCUACCAACACAACAUACCUAGGGAAAAGGAGCCGAGCCAUGGAUGUCACAAGGGGGGCUAUGGGCAGUGUGCUCGACAAGCUGGGCAAGCUCGUUAAGGAGAACUAUAAUCUGGACAGGAGCAUGAAGAGAGAUAUUGAGUCUUUCUCAGAAAACCUGGCAAAGAUCCACAAAGACCUCCCCAAUCUGAAAAAACUUGAUGGGGUAGAUAUUUGGGUUGACGAAGUCAGGGAGCUGUCAUAUAACAUUGAGGAUAUGGUUGACAGCUUCGUGGUGCGCAUUGAGCCUGACUCCAAUGGGAAUGGCUUUAAGGAGCUCCCGCAUGAGGGGCUAAAGUUCUUGGAGAAUGACAUGACGACUCAUCAUCAGAUUGGUGAUGUGAUCAAAGACAUCAAGAACCAAGUUCAGGCCGUGGUUGAUAGGCAACAGAAGUACAACUUCAAUGUCAACAAUGUUGUAGCUAAUGCAACUGCCUUGGUUCCCAUUGGCCCUCGGAUGUCUAUAUACAUAAAUAAAGAACAACUCAUUGGCAUCGAAAGACGAACAAAUGAGAUAAUAAGGAUGUUUGAGGAGGAUGGCAAUGUAUCAAAGCAAGAGCUCAUAAUAGCCUCCAUCAUCGGAUUGGGAGGACUGGGCAAGACCACACUUGCCAAGACAGUGUAUGACAAGCUCAAGGCACAAUACAAUUCUAAAGCUUUUGUUCCGGUGGGCCAGAAUCCCGAUGUGAAGAAAGUUUUGAUGAACAUUCUCAUUGCAGUUGGAAACAACUUCAAUGCUUCAAACUUGGAAGUGUGGCAGCUCAAAGACAAACUCGAAGAUUUUCUCCAAGAUAAGAGAUACUUCAUAGUAAUUGAUGAUAUAUGGGAUCCGGAAGCAUGGGGUAGUAUUACAUCUGCUUUUCCAAGAAACAACCAUGGCAGUAGAGUGAUAACAACAACAAGGAUUGAACGUGUUGUUCGUGUCUGUUGCGAGCAUGAAAGCAAGUAUGUUUAUAGGAUGAAAUCGCUAAGUGAAGAAGACUCGAGAAGACUAUUUUUCAGAAGAAUACUUGGUCCCCAAAAAGAUUGCCUUGAUACACCCAGAAAAGAAGAGAUUUCAAAAUAUAUUCUGAGGAAGUGUGGUGGUAUGCCACUUGCUAUUAACAGUAUAGCAAGCCUUCUAGCUACUGAGGAAGAGUCAACCUGGGAGUAUAUAUGGAAAUCUUUGGGUGCUGUGACUGAAAGUGAUGAUCUUGAAAAGAUGAGGCAAAUAUUGGAUCUUAGCUACAUACAUCUUCCCGAUCAUCUUAAGACAUGCCUGCUUCAUGUUUGUAUGUAUCCAGAGGAUUGGGAGAUAGAUAAAGAUGAUUUGUUGAAGAAAUGGGUAGCCGAAGGUUUCGUGCACGUGAGUAGAAACAGUGGGCUGGAUGCAGAGGAUGUUGCAGAAAAGUACUUCAAAAGAGCUUAUGAGCAUGUGUAUGAUCCAACCUGGGAAGACAGAUGA
rnacentral:rRNA from 1 species